CGGUUCCGAGCAGCCGUAGUGAAGCUAUACAAGCAGUAAGUCAAGAAUUCAGAUUGCCAUUUACAGGCUUUGUACUUAUUCGGGACGUGGCCAAGCACUGAUACGUUAUGGUGAAAAAAGAAGGCUGUGUGAGGUUAUUCGAUCAGUGUAUUCCCACGAAAGUGAUUGCGAAUAAUAUACAAACGGCAUGCAGCGUAUGGCCCAUGAAAGAGCGGAGUUACUGAAAAUCAGCCUGCGACAUCAAAGAAAGAAACUGCAACAAUGUUGAUUGCCGUUAGUGAUUACAUAGAUCGAAAGUUCCUGUCAAUAAAUCUGAGAAGACAUCAGUGGGUAGCAGAACUGAUGAAUUUAUUGCAUAUAAACAACAGAAUUGAACUACUGCAUAAAUGAUCGAGGUUUGCGAGUAUCCGCAUUAAGUGACCCCGGUAAUACAAUGUUGGAAAACUAAAUGCAGAAGCUGAACAGGCCGUAAUUUUGUAGAAGACUAGAGAACAGGGGCACACUACAUUGUAGCACUAUCGACCACAUUAAGUGAUGAUCCAAAUAAUGUAACCCAAUCAAUCGAUAUCUGACAAGAAACUAAAAAUGAAACCACAUGCUAGGCAGUGAAUAGAACUGAAAGUGUGAAAAGUGUGUCCAACCACCAUACAACCUGAGAUGCUACAAGAAGUACUACACAUACAUGCAAAGUGCGGAGCAACCCGGAGGAGAGUUAAGCAGAGACAUCCGAGUAACUUCUCCAUUACUCAGCAACAUUGGUGAGUUUGCAUGUGUUAGGUUACGGGUAUUUCCCUGGGACUCCUCCAUCCCGUGGCGUGGCGGUAACACUGUUACACGAAUCUGCGAUUUCUUAGAUGCAUGGAUAGGCUCAUUCAUGAUCACAACGAUGCUUGACUUCAAGUUGAAUUGUUUUUUCUUUUUGUGCAGUAGACCUAUUCUACCA
rnacentral:lncRNA from 1 species